rnacentral:sRNA from 1 species
UUUAAUGUAUUUCAAAGUAAAAUUACAUGUUAAUACGUAGUAUUAAUGGCGAGACUCCUGA